rnacentral:rRNA from 1 species
CCUACGGGUGGCAGCAGUGGGGAAUAUUGGACAAUGGGGGGAACCCUGAUCCAGCGACGCCGCGUGAGUGAAGAAGUACUUCGGUAUGUAAAGCUCUAUCAGCAGGGAAGAAAAUGACGGUACCUGACCAAGAAGCCCCGGCUAACUACGUGCCAGCAGCCGCGGUAAUACGUAGGGGGCAAGCGUUUUCCGGAGUUACUGGGUGUAAAGGGGGCGUAGACGGUGCAGCAAGUCUGAUGUGAAAGGUCGGGGCCCAACCCCGGGACUGCAUUGGAAACUGUUGAACUGGAGUGCAGGAGGGGUAGGCGGAAUUCCUGGUGUAGCGGUGAAAUGCGUAGAUAUUAGGAGGAACACCAGUGGCGAAGGCGGCUUGCUGGACUGUAACUGACGUUGAGGCUCGAAAGCGUGGGGAGCAAACAGGAUUAGAUACCCUGGUAGUC